CCGAGAAAACGGAGCCGUCUCAUUCCCCGUUAUCGCUCCAUUCUGUUCUUCCCCUUCUCCGCUCCAACCUUCUCGUCUGACGUACAGCAAUACGGAACCUAAGGAGCUCGAUAUAGCAGGGGGAAGCUUAAUCUGUGCGGCAAGAAGAUCGAUUUAGGUUGAGGCAAUCGAUUUGGGAGGAGAGAAACUUCAUAUUCUGACAAGACGCGGCAGUAGCAGGCUCGAGCUCGGUGGCGGCGAGCUGACUAUGAUAGGGGGAUCCUCGUUUCUAGCUGCUUGAUCUCGAUUUUGGGUGGUCAGGAUCUCUAUUCUUGCUUUCUAAUUUCGAUUUGGGUGACCAGAAACUCGAUUCAUGCUGGGGGAUCUCGAUCUGGGCGAGGGGGAGUUCGAUUUUGGUGUUUCCUCUUCAGUUGCGCCGAGUCGAAGUCACUGUAGCAGGACAACAACCUGGGACACUUGCUAGGACCUCUUCUUACAGCAGCGUGUGUGACAGCGAGGUUGAUCUCCACCCGGAUCGGUCCAACGAAGCUGGACUCGGACUAGCGCAUGAUCGGGGGCGCCCAACUCAAGCAUGGUUGUUGAACCCCAUUGUGCAGUGCUAUAAAUAGAGGUGGAGGCCAGCGGUGCACCGUACGAGGUUCACCGUGCGCCACCAACACCGCAUUAAAAACCCUAAGUUCCGAUCCGAUCCAUGGGAGCGUUGAAGCAGUGGGAAGCGCCGCCACCUCUGCACCACGCCGCCAUCAUCGUCGACUACACCCCGACCUCGACCGCCGCCCCUGCGUCACCAUCGACCUCGGCCUCACCACCGCCGGUUCGACAUUGCCGCCAUGGACUCCAACACCUCGAAGCCUGACAGUCUAUACCCUCACUCCCUUAUUCCCUCUCUCUGUUCUUUCUCUCCCAGAUGUAAAUCAUGUUGUUUACCUCAAGGUUAAUGCAAAACACCCUCUGAUCUAACACCUAGUGACUCUAAUGAUCUA